rnacentral:rRNA from 1 species
CAGUCGAACGGGCUUAACAUGAAACCUAGUGAUUGUUAAGUCAGUGGCGGACGGGUGAGUAACGCGUGGAUAACCUGCCGUAUGCAGGGGGAUAACAGUUGGAAACAGCUGCUAAUACCGCAUAAGCGCACAGUACCGCAUGGUACGGUGUGAAAAGAUUUAUCGGCAUACGAUGGAUCCGCGUCCGAUUAGCCAGUUGGCGGGGUAACGGCCCACCAAAGCGACGAUCGGUAGCCGGCCUGAGAGGGCGGACGGCCACAUUGGGACUGAGACACGGCCCAAACUCCUACGGGAGGCAGCAGUGGGGAAUAUUGCACAAUGGGGGAAACCCUGAUGCAGCGACGCCGCGUGAGUGAAGAAGUAUCUCGGUAUGUAAAGCUCUAUCAGCAGGGAAGAAAAUGACGGUACCUGACUAAGAAGCCCCGGCUAACUACGUGCCAGCAGCCGCGGUAAUACGUAGGGGGCAAGCGUUAUCCGGAUUUACUGGGUGUAAAGGGAGCGUAGACGGCGCUGCAAGUCCGGAGUGAAAGCCCAUGGCUUAACCAUGGUACUGCUCUGGAAACUGUGGAGCUUGAGUGCGGGAGGGGCAGGCGGAAUUCCUAGUGUAGCGGUGGAAUGCGUAGAUAUUAGGAAGAACACCGGUGGCGAAGGCGGCCUGCUGGACUGCAACUGACGUUGAGGCCCGAAAGCGUGGGGAGCAAACAGGAUUAGAUACCCUGGUAGUCCACGCCGUAAACGAUGAUUACUAGGUGUCGGGGAGCAGAGACUGCCCGGUGCCGCAGCCAACGCAUUAAGUAAUCCACCUGGGGAGUACGUUCGCAAGAAUGAAACUCAAAGGAAUUGACGGGGACC